rnacentral:rRNA from 1 species
AUUGAACGCUGGCGGCAGGCCUAACACAUGCAAGUCGAACGAGUGGCGGACGGGUGUGUACUGUCUGGGAAACUGCCUGAUGGAGGGGGAUAACUUCUGGAAACGGUAGCUAUUACCGCAUACCAUCAGAUGUGCCCAGAUGGGAUUAGCUAGUUGGGGGGGUAACGGCUCACCAAGGCGAUGAUCCCUAGCUGGUCUGAGAGGAUGACCAGCCACACUGGAAAUGAGACACGGGCCAGACCCCUACGGGAGGCAGAAGGGGGGAAUAUUGCACAAUGGGCGCAAGCAUGGUGCAGCCAUGCCGCGUGUAUGAAGAAGGCCUGCGGGUUGUAAAGUACUUUCAGCGGGGAGGCGUUACCCGCAGAAGAAGCACCGGCUAAAUCCGUGCCAGCAGCCGCGUAAUAC